GCCAGGCACAGUGGCGCAUGGCUAUAGUCCCAACUACUUGGGAGGCUGAGGCUGGGGGAUCGCUUGAGUCCAGGAGUUCUGGGCUGUAGUGCGCUAUGUCAAUCAGUGUCUGUGCUAAGUUCGGCAUCAAUAUGGUGACCUCCUGGGAGCAGGGACCACCAGGUUGCCUAAGAGGGAGUGAACCGACCCAGGUCGGAAAUGGAACAGGUCAAAACUCCUGUGCUGAUCAGUAGUGGGAUCGCAUCUGUGAAUAGCCACUGCACUCCAGCCUGGGCAACAUAGCGAGACUGUGUCACU
rnacentral:SRP_RNA from 1 species